GGAUGCUAUGAAUUAGAGGAUGGGUUGGGCUCAAUAUUUCGGAUACGGUGAGGGAUCCAAUCAGGAAUCUAGUUCGUGCAAAUGGUGGGUCUGACUUAACUAAGGAUUGGAGCAAGUUUUGGGUGAGCUUCAUGAAUUAGAGAUCAAGUUUUGGGUGCACCAUGAUUAGAGAAUCAUUGGACAAGAGUUGUCCACUCAUCGAUUGACCCAUCAUCAAUAACUGUUAGGUGAGGUGGUGAGCCAGUCGGUGAGA
rnacentral:lncRNA from 1 species